rnacentral:rRNA from 1 species
AAUCUUGCGCAAUGGCCGAAAGGCUGACGCAGCGACGCCGCGUGGGGGAGGAAGGCCUUCGGGUUGUAAACCCCUGUUGCCCGGGACGAACCCCUGGUUUCGACCAGGUUGACGGUACCGGGUGAGGAAGCACCGGCUAACUCCGUGCCAGCAGCCGCGGUAAUACGGAGGGUGCGAGCGUUGUCCGGAAUCACUGGGCGUAAAGGGCGCGUAGGCGGCCGCGUAAGCGUGUGGUGAAAGCUCGGGGCUCAACCCCGAGUCGGCCAUGCGAACUGUGCGGCUCGAGCCCACUAGAGGCAGGCGGAAUUCCGGGUGUAGCGGUGGAAUGCGUAGAGAUCCGGAAGAACACCGGUGGCGAAGGCGGCCUGCUGGGGUGGAGCUGACGCUGAGGCGCGACAGCGUGGGGAGCAAACAGG